rnacentral:misc_RNA from 1 species
AAUUUGACCAAAUUGAUUCCCAUCAGAUUUGCAUAAGGUCUAAUCCAAGAAGAUAAAUUGUAUUUGCUCCGCUCAAAAGAUGAUGGAUUACAAUUUUGGCCCUCAAUUAUAGAGAGGAGUAAGCUUUGUCUUUAAUCUCUUAACUUUUAAUUUAACCUAAUUAAAAUUGUACAUUUAUGCAAAAUUGGAUAAUUAAGCCCAUCAUUAACGUAGCAUAACAUGACUUUAGAUUGAAAGGUUACAAGGUGAAUGUUCAAAAACAUAAUAUAGAAAACUAUUUACUUAUUUAUUUAAAUAUUUUCAUAUGCAAAACAAGUUCAGUUUAAAAUCAAGCAUACCCUCCCAACAUUUUUUUUUAACUAAAUUUAGCCUCGAUAUCUUAUUUGAAAAAUUACAUAAAAUUACAUUAAUUGAUCCAUGUAUCCUCCUUCAUCCAGUUUAAAUCAAAUUUUUUGUUAAUCAAUAUAUUUAAAAGAAAGAGAAAUUACUCCUAUGAAAAUUAAAUAAUUCAAAUAUUAUAAAAUAAAGAAACUAUAUAGUUAUAUUUUUCAAAUUAUAGAGAUUGAAUGAAA